rnacentral:rRNA from 1 species
AGCUCCAGUAGCGUAUAUUAAAGUUGUUGCAGUUAAAAAGCUCGUAGUUGGAUUUCUGGCAAGGCGAACCCGAUCCGGUACUCUGUACCGAGUGUUGGCUGUUUGUCUGCCAUCCUUCCAGAGAACGAUGAUACUGUUUACUCAGUCGUUGUCGCAAUCUGGAACUUUUACUUUGAAAAAAUUAGAGUGUUCAAAGCAGGCGAUUCGCUAUGAAUACAUUAGCAUGGAAUAAUAAUUUAGGACUUUUGUUCUAUUUUGUUGGUCUCUAGAACGAAAGUAAUGAUUGAUAGGGAUAGUUGGGGGUGCUAGUAUUCAGCGGCCAGAGGUGAAAUUCUUGGAUUCGCUGAAGACUAACUUAUGCGAAAGCAUUCACCAAGGAUGUCUUCUUUA